CGGCGUGCCUAAUACAUGCAAGUCGAGCGCAAAGAUCAGGAGCUUGCUCCUGUGAUUUGAGCGGCGGACGGGUGAGUAACACGUAGGCAACCUACCCUUGAGAUUGGGAUAACUACCGGAAACGGUAGCUAAUACCGGAUACGACCUUUCCACAUAAGUGGAAUUGUUAAAAGGCGGAUUUAUCUGCCGCUCAUGGAUGGGCCUGCGGUGCAUUAGCUAGUUGGUGAGAUAGUAGCUCACCAAGGCGACGAUGCAUAGCCGACCUGAGAGGGUGAUCGGCCACACUGGGACUGAGACACGGCCCAGACUCCUACGGGAGGCAGCAGUAGGGAAUCUUCCGCAAUGGACGAAAGUCUGACGGAGCAACGCCGCGUGAGUGAUGAAGGGUUUCGGCUCGUAAAACUCUGUUGUUAAGGAAGAAUACUUGAGGUAGUAACUGGCCUUGAGAUGACGGUACUUAACCAGAAAGCCACGGCUAACUACGUGCCAGCAGCCGCGGUAAUACGUAGGUGGCAAGCGUUAUCCGGAAUUAUUGGGCGUAAAGCGCGCGUAGGCGGUAAAAUAAGUCUGAUGUGAAAGCCCCCGGCUCAACCGGGGAGGGUCAUUGGAAACUGUUUUACUUGAGUACAGAAGAGGAGAGUGGAAUUCCAUGUGUAGCGGUGAAAUGCGCAGAGAUAUGGAGGAACCCCGUGGCGAAAGGCGCUCUCUGGUCUGUUACUGACGCUGAGGUGCGAAAGCGUGGGGACCAAACAGGAUUAGAUACCCUGGUAGUCCACGCCGUAAACGAUGAGUGCU
rnacentral:rRNA from 1 species